rnacentral:rRNA from 1 species
AUACGUAGGGGGCGAGCGUUGUCCGGAAUGAUUGGGCGUAAAGGGCGCGUAGGCGGCCCGGUAAGUCUGGAGUGAAAGUCCUGUUUUUAAGAUGGGAAUUGCUUUGGAUACUGUCGGGCUUGAGUGCAGGAGAGGUAAGUGGAAUUCCCAGUGUAGCGGUGAAAUGCGUAGAGAUUGGGAGGAACACCAGUGGCGAAGGCGACUUACUGGACUGUAACUGACGCUGAGGCGCGAAAGUGUGGGGAGCAAACAGGAUUAGAUACCCUGGUAGUCCACACUGUAAACGAUGAAUGCUAGGUGUAGGGGGUAUCGACCCCUUCUGUGCCGCAGUCAACACAAUAAGCAUUCCGCCUGGGGAGUACUGCCGCAAGGUUGAAACUCAAAUGAAUUGACGGGG